ensembl:rRNA 5S_rRNA 5S ribosomal RNA
GUCUACAGCCAUACCACCCUGAACACACCCGAUCUUGUCUGAUCUCUGAAGAUAAGCAGGGUUGGGCCUGGUUAGUAUUUGGAUGGGAGAUGUCCCAGCUUUAGGCAGGGAGUGGAGGCC